GGGGAUGCUAGGCAUCGAUGGGAAGUUCAUUGUAAACCAUGCGCGUCGAGCCGCUUUAUCUCGUUAAACUGGAGCAAAUCAAUACGUGCAAACGUAUUUUCAAAAGUAAAAUCUGCGGUCGCUUCGAUCUUCGCGGCACCCAGUUUUGCUUCUUCCUUCGCCUAAAAACGGGGGACAUCCGUCCGUGUGAUGCUCGCUAGUGCGGAGCCGGGUGCCAUUUAGCGAGUGCGCCGCGUGCUCGCUUGGGGCACGCGAUACGCGAUACCAAGCUAGAUCAUACGGUGUUUUUCUUGGCUUUUUAUACCGUAUGACCACAACCUCAAACCAAGUACACGCGUAGAUGCGGUUUUCAUACCUUCCCAGACGGCGGUUCAAUUCCGCCCAUCUCCACAG
rnacentral:tmRNA from 1 species